ensembl:lncRNA novel transcript
ACACAACUUUCUUCCUCUACACACAUCUGCUCUGACAGCUUUCCUCCAGGCGUCUCAUCACAGCAAUACUGAAAGGGACUGUGGCAAGCCAGUUUUGGGACCCGUCCUCCAGGAUUCUGGGAAGAUGAGGUGGCCUACAGGACCAAGAGACCAAAGCUGUAUCGAGAACCAGAGUUCCCUCUGUUGCCAGUGUCAGUAAGGAAUUCCUCCAUGGGAGUUCCACACUUGAAUAGAGCUAGCUGAUCACAGAAGAGAAGGUCAGAGAGAUGCAUUCAGGCCGGCCUGGAAAAAAGCAAACAUUCAUAUUGGGAACUACCACUGGUGGCGACAUGUUACCGAACUGCAAGCAGUAUCUGGAAGCUAAGAGUCAUCCCUGGUCAACAACUAACAGGACAACAGGGACCUUAAUCCUACAGUUACAAGGACUGCCAACAAGUGACCUUGGAUAAAGACCCUAAGCCCCAGAUGAGAACUGAAACCCUGGCAACACCUUGAUUUCAGUGAGAUCCUAUACAGAGAAUCUAGCCACACUGUGGCCUGGACUUCUGACCUACAAUAACUAUGAGAUAAUAAAUGUGUUCUUUUUAGCCACUAAA